rnacentral:lncRNA from 1 species
GCAAGAGGUCCGAAAGCUUGGGGCUGUCCAGAUACCCAUAUUGCUCGUGUCAAGGGACUUUCAACUGUGGGAGCCCCUUCCCAAAAGCAGGCUAUCUCCCUCAAGCCCUCCUCCUCCUCCUCAUGGCUGAGGCCUGAGCCCCCAGGGUCUGUACUUGUUGCCCGGGUAGUGUGAUAGGACUCAGAGGGCAGAGACAGGUGGCACGGGCUGGUGAGGAAGAAGGGCCCUCUGUUCUGUGCCCAAAGCAGUGAGGGGUGGUUUCCUUCUUCCACAGAGGCAUCCUUCAGGCUUUGGUUGCCCAGAGUUUGUGACAUCUAGCUAUCUGAGAGUGUCAGCCUUUCACUCCCCAAACAAGAACGACAGUCUGCAGUGCUUAAGGCUGGGACUAGCAUGCUAACGGCCGCCUGUGAACUUCCCAGCAUCAACCCACACGCAGCGUGUGGCUCAGGUCACCCGGAAGUGUCCACAGUGUUAUCUGUUCUCACUCCCCACGACCCCCGGGUGGAGCAGCUUUUAAAAUAGCCUUAAGCAAAAGGACAUCAUCGUGUCACUAAAAUUUGGUUUGGUGGAAAGAAUAAAAGUAGAAGAAAACCCCGCCCGAAGCGCAGGAGCCUGGGAACACUGUAAUCAGUGCGCAGCCAACUCCAGUAGAGAGAAGGGAAUUGCUAUUGCACAUGUAUCAUAUGAACCCUUAGCCCUGCGGUGCGGUGCGGUGCGCGAGCCUGUCAGCUUUCUUGACUCUUAAAGAAAACCAUUUCUGAAUGCUUGGUUGGAAGACAGUGACUGACAAUAGCUCAUGAAACUGAGUGGUAUUUUUCUUUCUUUUUUUAAAAAAAACAAAAUAUGUAAAGUUGAGUCUUCCGUAUUCACGCAUACUGUAUAUACGUGUAUAUGUUUUGCUGAGCAGCUUAAAUAACAAUAAAUACAACGUUAACGGUG